rnacentral:rRNA from 1 species
CAGUUAAGAAUCUUGCGCAAUGGGCGCAAGCCUGACGCAGCGACGCCGCGUGCGCGAUGAAGGCCUGGUUGUAAGCGCAUAGACAGGGAAGAAGAAAGUAGACGGUACCUGUUGAAAGCACCGGCUAACUACGUGCCAGCAGCCGCGGUAAUACGUAUGGUGCAAGCGUUGUUCGGAUUUACUGGGCGUAAAGAGUGCGCGGGCGGAUCAUUAAGUCAGGUGUGAAAACUUCGGGCUCAACCCCGAAGACUGCACUUGAAACUAAUAAUCUCGAGUCUCGGAGAGGCAGGCAGAAUUCCUGGUGUAGCGGUGAAAUGCGUAGAUAUCAGGAGGAAUACCAAUGGCGAAGGCAGCCUGCUGGACGAUGACUGACGCUGAGGCACGAAAGACGUGGGGAGCAAACAGGAUUAGAUA